ACGGCCGGUACAACUACGACCUGCACGUGGAGGAGACGCGCGAGUGUGUGAAAGGCCCCAACAUCGCCGCCAUCGUGGGGGGCACCGUGGGGGGAGUCGUGCUCGUGGGCAUCUUCCUGCUGGCCAUCUGGAAGGUCCUGACCCACCUGAGUGACCUCAGGGAGUACAAGCGCUUCGAGAAGGAGAAGCUCAAGUCCCAGUGGAACAACGAUAACCCCCUUUUCAAGAGCGCCACCACGACAGUUAUGAACCCCAAGUUUGCUGAGCGCUAGGGGUGCUUGGUGAAGACAAGGCCUUCUGCUCCGCCCAGACGGGGCCGCCUCCCCUCCAGCAGGCUGACCGUGACCCUGCCUGGCGGACCCAGCUGACGCCCCCCCACCCCCGACCCCCUCAACAUCAGCUGAAAACCUGCUCUUUUCCCUGCGCCCCAAAUGACGGAUCUGUUCAGAUGCUUCAAUGGACUCAUCGGAAGGGACAAUCUCCCGCUUCUGAGAGGUGUGACUUCUGGUAGCCACUUGAAAAAGGACUCGCUUGUGUCUCGUAAGGUCAGACACCUGUCUUCCUUUGUAAAAAUUAGCACAGCAGUCAGAUGGAUGGAGAUUCCGAUUUAUUUAUAUGUGAACUUAUAGGGAAUAGAAUUGCAUUCCUGUGAUUAUGCUGUUUCCAAUCAUGUGCACGGAAAAAAAUCGAAUAAAUCUGCAGAGGCUCGCUGGGGGCUGGGCUCUGCGCCCCAUCUCAGCUGUGCCCACACUCCCCGGGUCCUGCCGACUUUGUGCCCUGGAGCCAGUUUCUCUUUCCUCCUUCCUCACCUGGUGCCCGUGAGAGCCUGGCCCCUAUCUGCCCUGGUCCCUGGCCCUCACCUUAGGCAGCUUUCAGAGGACCGGGCAGGAAGCAAGGGGCGGGGGGCAGCCUCACUGAAGGGGGUCCUGCUGAGGAACCUGAACACGGCCGAGGCAAGACAGAGGCGCCGGUGUCUGUCACCCUCGCAGACACUACACGGGCUCCGCUGUGCCGAGCCAGGAGUGCGGUGUCCACCGCGCGAGCAGGCAGUGUGGCAAGGCUCUCAGGCCCCCACCGUCCUGUCCUCACCAUUCCCGCCCUGUUCACCUUGCCUUCCUGCCCUAUUCCUAAAAAGUGGAUUUGAAACAGAAUGGCCAAAGCUUAACCCUUCCCCUUAUUAAUGGUUCCAUGUCCUUCUGUGCCCAGGAGGAGACUCAGGCUUUAUUUCCACGUUAAGAUCCAGCAGAACAAAAUGAAAUCGCUUUCAGGCAGUGUUGGGCCAUCCCAUCUCCCCACCUGGUGAAUCUGGAUGGCUCUGCCCCUUCCUGACGUUUUUUGUUUGUUUGUUUGUUUUCUUUUUAUAACUGCACCCGUGGCAUAUGGAGGUUCCCAGGCUAGGGGUCUAAUCGGAGCUGCAGCUGCUGGCCUGCACCACAGCCACAGCAAGGCAGGAUCAGAGCCACAUCUGUAACCUACAGCACAGCUCACAGCAACGCCAGAUCCUUAACCCACUGAGUGUGGCCAAGGAUUGAACUGGCAACCUCUUGGUUCCUAGUGGGAUUCCUUUCCGCUGUGCCAGGACGGGAACACCCCUUCCCAACCUUUGACCCUUCCCGCCAAGAACCUCCAGCAGACAAGCCUCUCCUCACACGUGAUCUGCUCACCAAAGGUCCCCCUGCAGCCGCCUUCCCCCAACGAUGUCACACAGGCACUUCUGGCACCUUCGUCUGAGGUCCCCGGGUGCAGUCCCUCCCCUGCCCGUGCCUCUCCCGCACAUCCGCGUCCACACAGACACCCGUGGCGAUUGUGUUCCCCACUCCUACAACCCAGUGCGGUUCUCCGGCGACACCCUGUGCCCCUCGGACCCCAGACGCCCAGCCGGAGUGCGGGGCCGCCCCACCCCGAGCCACAGCCUCCCUCCUGCUCUCCUUCCCUUCCUGUUUUAAAGUCAGCUUUUGAGACUUAGCAUCAUCAAAACCUUUGUCACUUAAGCAACUCCAGGGGUGCUUGUUUCUAGGCUCCGAGUGCAUUUUCCAUGAGUGGGUUUGUUUUAUCCUUUUUUAAUAAAGUCUGCAUCGUGUACCAU
rnacentral:lncRNA from 1 species